AACGGGAAGCUCCAAGCCGCAGCUCUGCUUCCUCGGGACCUCAGAUCCUGGUAAGUCAGGCAGGGAAUGAGGUGUGGACCAAAGUGUUGAGUACUCUGGGGUUCUCAGAGCCAUCACAAGGGCAGAACACCAGGUUCAAGCUUCUUUCUUCCUAGAAAUGCCCGGAGGCUGAGUGUUUCAGGCUGCGCUGUGAGCUCGGGCCCCUGCACCAACAAGAGAGCCAAAGUCUGCAGUUGCAUUUCCGAGUCUGGGCCAAGACUUUCUUGCAGCGGGAGCACCAGCCAUUUAGCCUGCAGUGUGAGGCUGUGUACAAAGCCCUGAAGAUGCCCUACCGAAUCCUGCCUCAGCAGCUGCCCCAAAAGGAGCGUCAUGUGGCCACAGCUGUGCAAUGGACCAAGGCAGAAGGCAGCCAUGGUGUCCCACUGUGGAUCAUCAUCCUAGCCAUUCUAUUUGGCCUCCUGCUCCUAGGUCUACUCAUCUACAUCCUCUACAAGGUCAGCCACAUCCUGCUUGUGACUUGGCCACCCUAUCCUCAGGCUCUGCCCUUGACCUGGCACAGUCCCAAGUAUCUACCCCUAGACCAUUUCA
rnacentral:sRNA from 1 species